rnacentral:siRNA from 1 species
CAAAGGGUGUUGGUCGAUUAAG